AUUAGGUUGAUGCAAAAGUAAUUGUGGUUUUUGGCUUAGAAAUAAUGGCAAAAACCGCAAUUCCUUUUGCACCAACUUAA
rnacentral:miRNA from 1 species